rnacentral:rRNA from 1 species
AUUGAACGCUGGCGGCAGGCCUAACACAUGCAAGUCGAGCGGAUGAAGGGAGCUUGCUCCUGGAUUCAGCGGCGGACGGGUGAGUAAUGCCUAGGAAUCUGCCUGGUAGUGGGGGAUAACGUCCGGAAACGGGCGCUAAUACCGCAUACGUCCUGAGGGAGAAAGUGGGGGAUCUUCGGACCUCACGCUAUCAGAUGAGCCUAGGUCGGAUUAGCUAGUUGGUGGGGUAAAGGCCUACCAAGGCGACGAUCCGUAACUGGUCUGAGAGGAUGAUCAGUCACACUGGAACUGAGACACGGUCCAGACUCCUACGGGAGGCAGCAGUGGGGAAUAUUGGACAAUGGGCGAAAGCCUGAUCCAGCCAUGCCGCGUGUGUGAAGAAGGUCUUCGGAUUGUAAAGCACUUUAAGUUGGGAGGAAGGGCAGUAAGUUAAUACCUUGCUGUUUUGACGUUACCAACAGAAUAAGCACCGGCUAACAUCGU